rnacentral:rRNA from 1 species
AGAGUUUGAUCCUGGCUCAGGAUGAACGCUGGCGGCGUGCCUAACACAUGCAAGUCGAGCGAGACGGUUAUGAUUGAUCCUUCGGGUGAGAGAUUAACUAGAAAGCGGCGGACGGGUGAGUAACGCGUGAGUAACCUGCCCCAUACACAGGGAUAGCCAUUGGAAACGAUGAUUAAUACCUGAUAAUACUAAAGUAACACAUGUUACCUUAGUCAAAGAUUUAUCGGUAUGGGAUGGACUCGCGUCUGAUUAGCUAGUUGGUAAGGUAACGGCUUACCAAGGCGACGAUCAGUAGCCGACCUGAGAGGGUGAUCGGCCACACUGGAACUGAGACACGGUCCAGACUCCUACGGGAGGCAGCAGUGGGGAAUAUUGCACAAUGGGCGCAAGCCUGAUGCAGCAACGCCGCGUGAACGAAGAAGGCCUUCGGGUCGUAAAGUUCUUUUCUUAGGGAAGAAAAAUGACGGUACCUAAGGAAUAAGCACCGGCUAAAUACGUGCCAGCAGCCGCGGUAAU